GUUAAUGAUGCCUCUUUGACUAGUCUCUUCCAAUGCUGCAACUAUAAUCUGGGUCAUCUUCUCUGGUUCUUGAAGAGGAAGGCUACCAAAACCAAUAUAGAUGGGUGGAUCACCACCUUCUAGCCAUUCCACAAGUGAAUCAGGAGGUUUAUAAUUUGAUGCAAGGUCAAGGAAGCAAAAUCCAACAACAUCAAUCUUUGGUCCCCAGUCUUUUGGUUUGGGAACAAGGCUAGGACUCCAUAUAUACCCAUAAGGC
rnacentral:misc_RNA from 1 species